CCUACGGGAGGCAGCCGUGGGGAAUAUUGCACAAUGGGGGAAACCCUGAUGCAGCGACGCCUCGUGAGUGAAGAAGUAUUUCGGUAUGUAAAGCUCUAUCAGCAGGGAAGAAAUCAAGUCCUUUGGACUUUGGACGGUACCUGACUAAGAAGCCCCGGCUAACUACGUGCCAGCCGCCGCGGUAAUACGUAGGGGGCAAGCGUUAUCCGGAUUUACUGGGUGGAAAGGGAGCGUAGACGGCAGCGCAUGUCUGGAGUGAAGUCCCAUGGCUUAACCAUGGAACUGCGUUGGAAACUGUGCAGCUAGAGUGCAGGAGAGGUAAGCGGAAUUACUAGUGUAGCGGUGAAAUGCGUAGAUAUUAGGAGGAACACCAGUGGCGAAGGCGGCUUACUGGACUGUAACUGACGUUGAGGCUCGAAAGCGUGGGGAGCAAACAGGAUUAGAUACCCCAGUAGUC
rnacentral:rRNA from 1 species